rnacentral:rRNA from 1 species
CACUAGAGGACAACAGUUGGAAACGACUGCUAAUACUCUAUACUCCUCUUUAACAUAAGUUAGAUAGGGAAAGUUUUUCGGUGUAGGAUGAGGCUAUAUUGUAUCAGCUAGUUGGUGAGGUAAUGGCUCACCAAGGCUAUGACGCAUAACUGGUCUGAGAGGAUGAUCAGUCACACUGGAACUGAGACACGGUCCAGACUCCUACGGGAGGCAGCAGUAGGGAAUAUUGCUCAAUGGGGGAAACCCUGAAGCAGCAACGCCGCGUGGAGGAUGACACUUUUCGGAGCGUAAACUCCUUUUGUUAGGGAAGAACAAUGACGGUACCUAACGAAUAAGCACCGGCUAACUCCGUGCCAGCAGCCGCGGUAAUACGGAGGGUGCAAGCGUUACUCGGAAUCACUGGGCGUAAAGGACGCGUAGGCGGAUUAUCAAGUCUCUUGUGAAAUCCUAUGGCUUAACCAUAGAACUGCUUGGGAAACUGAUAAUCUAGAGUGAGGGAGAGGCAGAUGGAAUUGGUGGUGUAGGGGUAAAAUCCGUAGAGAUCACCAGGAAUACCCAUUGCGAAGGCGAUCUGCUGGAACUCAACUGACGCUAAUGCGUGAAAGCGUGGGGAGCAAACAGGAUUAGAUACCCUGGUAGUCCACGCCCUAAACGAUGUAUACUAGUUGUUGCUAAGCUAGUCUUGGCAGUAAUGCACCUAACGGAUUAAGUAUACCGCCUGGGGAGUACGGUCGCAAGAUUAAAACUCAAAGGAAUAGACGGGGACCCGCACAAGCGGUGGAGCAUGUGGUUUAAUUCGAAGAUACGCGAAGAACCUUACCCGGACUUGAUAUCUAACAAAUCAUCUAGAGAUAGAAGAGUGUCUGCUCGCAGAAAUGUUAAGACAGGUGCUGCACGGCUGUCGUCAGCUCGUGUCGUGAGAUGUUGGGUUAAGUCCCGCAACGAGCGCAACCCACGUCAUUAGUUGCUAACAGUUCGGCUGAGCACUCUAAUG